rnacentral:rRNA from 1 species
UACGGAGGGGGCGAGCGUUGUUCGGAUUUACUGGGCGUAAAGGGUGUGUAGGCGGCUGGAUAAGUCUGGUGUGAAAUCUUCACCGCUCAACGGGAAGGGGUCACUGGAAACUGUUCAGCUUGAGUAUGGUAGAGGCAAGCGGAAUUCCUGGUGUAGCGGUGGAAUGUGUAGAUAUCAGGAAGAACACCGGUGGCGAAGGCGGCUUGCUGGGCAGUAGCUGACGCUGAGGCGCGACAGCGGUGGGGAGCAAACAGG